rnacentral:pre_miRNA from 1 species
AGUGCACUGGUGGGGUCCCUCAGCCUGGCCUGUGGGGAUCAAGCCCAAACCGGCAGUCUGAUAUCCCCCAAGGAGUCCCAGAUUGUGAGAGGGCGCAGGCCAGGCUGAGGGACUCCACCAGUGCACA